UAUUUACAGAAAUCAAUCUUUUGUGUCCCGUCUGUAGCUCACCAAAUUGCCGUGACCAUGAGGUGCGACAUUUUGGGAAGGUAAUAGCCCUGAGCAUGAUGUACAACUCCUGAAGAACUGAAUGCUACGGCCACUGCCAUGCCCAGAUGCCCUCUCUCCUCGGGGGGCCACUUGUCUUUUGUCAAACAUCACUGGACGUCUGUUGGAACAGGCUCAGAUCUUAGAAUUUUCAUAGAGGAGGAGCUCGGCACCUCGCUGUCAUUGGGAAUGGCAGCUCCUUUCAUCAGGGGAGCUCUGAUCUUUACCAUGAGCAUCACUUCCUGGCUCCAGUGUGGAUCCCUCAUCUUGGUGGGCACAGAUCCUUCAUCUCACGAGCAUAGAUUUUCUGGCUUCCACCACUGGCCUUGGGCCUUCCAGGUGCAGACCCUCAAUACGGACAGGCAUGAGACAUUACUUUGGGCUCUAGGCCACUGGCUGGACUUGAGGACAUUGCUUGGACUCUCAGCCUUUAGAUGGACUUCUACGGAAACUGCUGGGAUCCAGGCCCUCAGUUGAAUGUUUUGGGCUUCUAGUGUGUGGUUAAUCCUGUGGACUCCUUGCAUUUGACUCUUUGGGUAAGUAUCAUAAAAUAACUUUGUAAGUUAUGUGUCCUGUAGUUAAUGCAUUUCCUCACCCAAUCCUGCUGACUACACUAUCUUUAUGCCACUUUGUUUCUGUGACUUGUACAGAUUUCUCUUUCCCAAACAAUUCAGUCACAUAGAGGAUGUGAAAUGUACAGAAUCAUAGAAAAAUGGAAAAUCAAGCAAAAAGAUUUGUGUCUUUACUUUGGAGAAGGAUUUGUGUGAUGUCUGCACAAGAGAGGAAGGAAGGACAGCAGAGGAGAGGGUGACGAGUUUUGGACAGGGCUUUGGAAUAGGAGUCAGGACUUGCGUUGUGGACCUGCUGUGUACUGUUGGG
rnacentral:lncRNA from 1 species